rnacentral:rRNA from 1 species
UGGGGAAUAUUGGACAAUGGGCGAAAGCCUGAUCCAGCCAUGCCGCGUGUGUGAAGAAGGUCUUCGGAUUGUAAAGCACUUUAAGUUGGGAGGAAGGGCAGUAAGCGAAUACCUUGCUGUUUUGACGUUACCGACAGAAUAAGCACCGGCUAACUCUGUGCCAGCAGCCGCGGUAAUACAGAGGGUGCAAGCGGUAAUCGGAAUUACUGGGCGUAGAGCGCGCGUAGGUGGUUCGUUAAGUUGAAUGUGAAAGCCCCGGGCUCAACCAGGGAACUGCAUCCAAAACUGGCGAGCUAGAGUAGGGCAGAGGGGGGUGGAAUUACCUGUGUAGCGGUGAAAUGCGUAGAUAUAAGAAGGAACACCAGUGGCGAAGGCGACCACCUGGGCUCAUACUGACACUGAGGUGCGAAAGCGUGGGGAGCAAACAGG